rnacentral:misc_RNA from 1 species
UAGAAUGCGAUAUGCAAUGUGAAUUGCAGAACCACGAAUCAUCGGAUCUUUGAACGCAACUGGCGCUGGAAAAACCAGCAUACUUGUUUCAGUGUGCGCAAACAAAUAAACCAUAUAAAUGUGAGAGAAGUUCUCUCAUGAAAUAUAUGCUCCCUGCAGCAGUCACAUUUAUUUGUGAGCUGAAGGGCUGACUUAUGCCUUAUUUGCACCUGAAAUCAAGUAAGAAGACCCGCUGGACUUAA